UACGUAGGGGGCAAGCGUUGUCCGGAUUUAUUGGGCGUAAAGAGCGUGUAGGCGGCCAGACAGGUCCGUUGUGAAAACUCGAGGCUCAACCUCGAGACGCCGAUGGAAACCGUCUGGCUAGAGUCCGGAAGAGGAGAGUGGAAUUCCUGGUGUAGCGGUGAAAUGCGCAGAUAUCAGGAAGAACACCCGUGGCUAAGGCGGCUCACUGGCCCGGUACUGACGCUGAGGUGCGAAAGCGUGGGGAGCAAACAGG
rnacentral:rRNA from 1 species